rnacentral:rRNA from 1 species
UACAGAGGGGGCAAGCGUUGUUCGGAAUUACUGGGCGUAAAGCGUGCGCAGGCGGUGAUGUAAGACAGUUGUGAAAUCCCCGGGCUCAACCUGGGAACUGCAUCUGUGACUGCAUCGCUGGAGUACGGUAGAGGGGGAUGGAAUUCCGCGUGUAGCAGUGAAAUGCGUAGAUAUGCGGAGGAACACCGAUGGCGAAGGCAAUCCCCUGGACCUGUACUGACGCUCAUGCACGAAAGCGUGGGGAGCAAACAGG